AUACGGAGGAUGCGAGCGUUAUCCGGAUUUAUUGGGUUUAAAGGGAGCGUAGGUGGGAUAUUAAGUCAGCUGUGAAAGUUUGGGGCUCAACCUUAAAAUUGCAGUUGAUACUGGUUUCCUUGAGUACGGUACAGGUGGGCGGAAUUCGUGGUGUAGCGGUGAAAUGCUUAGAUAUCACGAAGAACUCCGAUCGCGAAGGCAGCUCACCGGGCCGGAACUGACACUGAUGCUCGAAAGUGCGGGUAUCAAACAGGAUUAGAUACCCUGGUAGUCCGCACAGUAAACGAUGAAUACUCGCUGUUUGCGAUACACAGUAAGCGGCCAAGCGAAAGCGUUAAGUAUUCCACCUGGGGAGUACGCCGGCAACGGUGAAACUCAAAUGAAUUGACGGGG
rnacentral:rRNA from 1 species